CAGUAGCCGCGGUAAUACGAAGGGUGCAAGCGUUACUCGGAAUUACUGGGCGUAAAGCGUGCGUAGGUGGUGGUUUAAGUCCGUUGUGAAAGCCCUGGGCUCAACCUGGGAAUUGCAGUGGAUACUGGAUCACUAGAGUGUGGUAGAGGAUAGUGGAAUUUCCGGUGUAGCAGUGAAAUGCGUAGAUAUAUGGAGGAACACCAGUGGCGAAGGCGACUCUCUGGUCUGUAACUGACGCUGAGGCUCGAAAGCGUGGGUAGCAAACAGGAUUAGAUACCCCAGUAGUCCCUGUCUCUUAUAC
rnacentral:rRNA from 1 species